UAAUCCGUAGGGUCUUUCAGUCCCUUAGAGAGUAUGUGUAUUAACAAAUUGAACAUGAACAUUAUUUUGACGUUCGGUCAAAUCCAACCAGGUGUGCGAUACCGGCCCCAAGGGCCUCUUGUUACUGAUGGGGACAAAACAAGGGUUUAUUACUGAUGGGGACAAAACAAGGGUUUCUUACUGACAGGGACAAAACAAGGGUUUAUUACUGACGGGGACAAAACAAGGGUUUAUUACUGACUGAGGACAAAACAAGGGUUUAUUACAGACGGGAACAAAACUAGAUAUUUAUACUGACUGUGGACAAAACUAGAGAAUUAUACUAACUGGAAACAAAACCAAAGGAAUUAUACAGAAUGGGGAUAAAACUAGGGAUUUAUGCUGACUAGGGACACAUCCAGAGAUUUAUACUGACUUCGGACCCAACCAGGUGAUUUAUGCUGACUGGGGACAAAACGAAGGAUUUAUACUGACUGGGGACAAAACUAGGGAUUUAUACUAACUGCAGUAAAAACCAGUAUUUUAUACUGACUUGGGGCACAACCAAGGGAUUUAUACUAAUGGAGACAAAACCAAAACAUUUAUACUGACUGGAAAAAACUAUGCAGAAUUGAUAUAAACGACUUCUCUUUUGAAACUUAGCAAUGUAUAUCUCUCAUAUUUGACUGGUAGCAACCCCUUGGGGUAGGGAUUCAAAAUUGUACAAAUGACUGGGCUGACCCCCCCUGGGGGCUGAGGCACAGGGCCAAAUGGGGUCAGUUUGGCAGAAUUGAUAUAAACGACUUCUCUUCUGAAAGUAAGCAAUGGAUAUCUCUCAUAUUUGCCUGGUAGCAUCCCCUUGGGGUAGGGAUUCAAAAUCGUACAAAUGACAGGGCUGACCUCCUGGCGCCUGAGGGGUGGAGCCAAAAGGGGCUAAAUUGACAUAAACAACUUCCUCUCUGAAACUGAGUAAAGCAUAUUGCUCAUAUUUGCCUGGUAGCAUCCCUAUGGGGUGGGGAUUCAAAAUUUUCAAAUGUGGGGCUGACCCCCCGGGGUCCUGAGGGACGAGACCAAAAGUGGUCUAUUGACAUCAACAACUUCUUCUUUGAAACUAAGCAAUGGAUAUAGCUCAUAUUUGACUGGUAGCAUCCUUUUGUGGUAGGAAUCCAAAAUUGUAUAAAGAAAGGAGGUGACCCCCUAGGGGCCAGAGUGCAGGGUCAAAAUGGGUCAAUUGGUUUCUCUGAAACUAAGCAAUGGAUAUCACUCACAUUUGUGUGGUAGCAAUCCCUAUGGGAUGGGAUUGCACCCAAAGUCAAUUUAAUUUCAUGGAUUAAUUGCACUUUUUGGCAUAAAAACCACAUUUGUAUGGUAACAUGGUUAUGAGGUGGGGAUUCAAAAUUGUACAAAUGUUGGGGUUAACCUCCCGGGGGACUGAAUAUACUUAAGCAUCAUUCUUGUUUCAUAUCUCAUGAAACCAGGUGAUCAAUACAGGCCAUUUGGGCCUCUUGUAGUGACUGAACAAAACUAGGUAAUUUAUACUGACUGGGGACAAAACUAGGGAUUUAUACUGCGGACAAAACUAGGUGAUUUAUACUGACUGGGGACAAAACUAGGGAUUUAUACGGACUGUGGACAAAACCAGGUAAUUUAUACUGAAUGGGGACAAAACUAGGUGAUUUAUACUGACUGUGGACAAAACCAGGUAAUUUAUACUGACUGGGGGACAAAACUAGGUAAUUUAUACUGACUGGGGGACAAAACUAGGUGAUUUAUACUGACUGGGGACAAAACUAGGUGAUUUAUACUGACUGGGGGACAAAACUAUGUAAUUUAUACUGACUGGGGACAAAACUAGGUAAUUUAUACUGACUGGGGACAAAACUAAGUGAUUUAUACUGACUGGGGGACAAAACUAGGUGAUUUAUACUGACUGGGGGACAAAACUAGGUGAUUUAUACUGACUGGGGGACAAAACUAGGUGAUUUAUACUGACUGGGGGACAAAACUAGGUGAUUUAUACUGACUGGGGGACAAAACUAGGUAAUUUAUACUGACUGGGGGACAAAACUAGGUGAUUUAUACUGACUGGACAAAACUAGGUAAUUAAUACUGACUGGGGGACAAAACUAGGUGAUUUAUACUGACUGGGUGACAAAACUAGGUGAUUUAUACUGACUGGACAAAACUAGGUGAUUUAUACUGACUGGACAAAUCUAGGUAAUUAAUACUGACUGGGGGACAAAACUAGGUGAUUUAUACUGACUGGGGACAAAACUAGGUAAUUUAUACUGACUGGGGGACAAAACUAGGUGAUUUAUACUGACUGGGGGACAAAACUAGGUAAUUUAUACUGACUGGGGACAAAACUAGGUGAUUUAUACUGACUGGGGACAAAACUAGGGAUUUAUACUGACUGGGGACAAAACUAGGUGAUUUAUACUGACUGGGGGACAAAUCUAGGUAAUUAAUACUGACUGGGGACAAAACUAGGUGAUUUAUACUGAUGCUACACUAACCGACACAUUGGUAAUACAUUUGUAUAUCAGUACAAUAUUGACUUUUCAUUGAAAUAUGAAUUAAAACCACAUCACGCAGAAGCAGCAUAGACACAAGAUGUCUUUUAUAGCUUUGUGUGGAACUGUAUAGUUUAGAUCAAAUUACAUUUCUAGAGCAUGACAAUAACUGUCAACUCACAAUACAUCAGAAUGUCAGUGAAAAGUUUACUCAUUAUGUAGAUAUCAUAACAUCAUUAACUUGAAAAAGAAUUUUUUUUGGAUACUUAUCUAUAUUGACCAUUAUCUGUAGAAAGAGUCUAAUUGACUCAAUGGAUGAUAUGUGAUUGAUUCACCAUGACUGACCAGUGAGUUACCAUGCAUGCUUGUUAUUGACUCGUGCUGAAUAUUUGACUUGCCAUGGAUGUUUGAUUUUCGACUACAAUGAAUGCCAUAUCUCUAGGGGAUGUUUGCUCAAACAGUUACUCAACAUAGAUGUUUGACUGAGCAAUGACCCACCAUGGAGUUUCAAGCAUUAUGAACAAAAAUACUCGACUCAGCAGAGACUGAAUAUUUGACUCAGCAGUAAUUUAUCAACAGAGCUGACUGAUCCUGAUACUGCAUUGAUACUUGACUAAAAAUUUACUAAACGUUGAUGUUUGACAGUGAAUGGACUCUUCAUGAAUAUUGUCUAAUAUGUUGUUUUUUAUGGCUAAUUGACUCAGCAUAGACUCGCCAUGAAUUUUGGACAGAGCAGUGACUCCCUAAUGGUAGAUCUGACAGAAGAAUUACUGAUCAUGAAUAUUUGACAGAAGAAUUACUGAUCAUGAAUAUUUGACUAAGUAAAUAGUGACUAAGUAUAAAGUUGACCAAUAUUUUCCUUUCUGUGUAUUUGACUUAAGACUCAUAGUGAAUGUUUGACUGAGUAGCCACUCUCCUUGGAUAUACAUGAGAUUCUCUGGAUGACCUAAUUUGCCCACUUUCUUUCUCCAAUUUUCUCAGUGUUUUGUUGUAUUCCUUCCACCUAGAUGGACAUUAUCUUCCAAUGUUGCAGGCAGAUCCUGAAUUAAACAGUUGUUGUUUCAAUUGACUGUUUUCAUACUUGUGAUUAUUAUGUAGAUGAUUUUGAUCAGAAUUAAUAAAAUACUAUUUCACAG